rnacentral:rRNA from 1 species
GGUUAAGCGACUAAGCGUACACGGUGGAUGCCCUGGCAGUCAGAGGCGAUGAAGGACGUGCUAAUCUGCGAUAAGCGUCGGUAAGGUGAUAUGAACCGUUAUAACCGGCGAUUUCCGAAUGGGGAAACCCAGUGUGUUUCGACACACUAUCAUUAACUGAAUCCAUAGGUUAAUGAGGCGAACCGGGGGAACUGAAACAUCUAAGUACCCCGAGGAAAAGAAAUCAACCGAGAUUCCCCCAGUAGCGGCGAGCGAACGGGGAGCAGCCCAGAGCCUGAAUCAGUGUGUGUGUUAGUGGAAGCGUCUGGAAAGGCGCGCGAUACAGGGUGACAGCCCCGUACACAAAAAUGCACAUGCUGUGAGCUCGAUGAGUAGGGCGGGACACGUGGUAUCCUGUCUGAAUAUGGGGGGACCAUCCUCCAAGGCUAAAUACUCCUGACUGACCGAUAGUGAACCAGUACCGUGAGGGAAAGGCGAAAAGAACCCCGGCGAGGGGAGUGAAAAAGAACCUGAAACCGUGUACGUACAAGCAGUGGGAGCCUCUUUUAUGGGGUGACUGCGUACCUUUUGUAUAAUGGGUCAGCGACUUAUAUUCUGUAGCAAGGUUAACCGAAUAGGGGAGCCGAAGGGAAACCGAGUCUUAACUGGGCGUUAAGUUGCAGGGUAUAGACCCGAAACCCGGUGAUCUAGCCAUGGGCAGGUUGAAGGUUGGGUAACACUAACUGGAGGACCGAACCGACUAAUGUUGAAAAAUUAGCGGAUGACUUGUGGCUGGGGGUGAAAGGCCAAUCAAACCGGGAGAUAGCUGGUUCUCCCCGAAAGCUAUUUAGGUAGCGCCUCGUGAAUUCAUCUCCGGGGGUAGAGCACUGUUUCGGCAAGGGGGUCAUCCCGACUUACCAACCCGAUGCAAACUGCGAAUACCGGAGAAUGUUAUCACGGGAGACACACGGCGGGUGCUAACGUCCGUCGUGAAGAGGGAAACAACCCAGACCGCCAGCUAAGGUCCCAAAGUCAUGGUUAAGUGGGAAACGAUGUGGGAAGGCCCAGACAGCCAGGAUGUUGGCUUAGAAGCAGCCAUCAUUUAAAGAAAGCGUAAUAGCUCACUGGUCGAGUCGGCCUGCGCGGAAGAUGUAACGGGGCUAAACCAUGCACCGAAGCUGCGGCAGCGACGCUUAUGCGUUGUUGGGUAGGGGAGCGUUCUGUAAGCCUGUGAAGGUGUGCUGUGAGGCAUGCUGGAGGUAUCAGAAGUGCGAAUGCUGACAUAAGUAACGAUAAAGCGGGUGAAAAGCCCGCUCGCCGGAAGACCAAGGGUUCCUGUCCAACGUUAAUCGGGGCAGGGUGAGUCGACCCCUAAGGCGAGGCCGAAAGGCGUAGUCGAUGGGAAACAGGUUAAUAUUCCUGUACUUGGUGUUACUGCGAAGGGGGGACGGAGAAGGCUAUGUUGGCCGGGCGACGGUUGUCCCGGUUUAAGCGUGUAGGCUGGUUUUCCAGGCAAAUCCGGAAAAUCAAGGCUGAGGCGUGAUGACGAGGCACUACGGUGCUGAAGCAACAAAUGCCCUGCUUCCAGGAAAAGCCUCUAAGCAUCAGGUAACAUCAAAUCGUACCCCAAACCGACACAGGUGGUCAGGUAGAGAAUACCAAGGCGCUUGAGAGAACUCGGGUGAAGGAACUAGGCAAAAUGGUGCCGUAACUUCGGGAGAAGGCACGCUGAUAUGUAGGUGAAGUCCCUCGCGGAUGGAGCUGAAAUCAGUCGAAGAUACCAGCUGGCUGCAACUGUUUAUUAAAAACACAGCACUGUGCAAACACGAAAGUGGACGUAUACGGUGUGACGCCUGCCCGGUGCCGGAAGGUUAAUUGAUGGGGUUAGCGCAAGCGAAGCUCUUGAUCGAAGCCCCGGUAAACGGCGGCCGUAACUAUAACGGUCCUAAGGUAGCGAAAUUCCUUGUCGGGUAAGUUCCGACCUGCACGAAUGGCGUAAUGAUGGCCAGGCUGUCUCCACCCGAGACUCAGUGAAAUUGAACUCGCUGUGAAGAUGCAGUGUACCCGCGGCAAGACGGAAAGACCCCGUGAACCUUUACUAUAGCUUGACACUGAACAUUGAGCCUUGAUGUGUAGGAUAGGUGGGAGGCUUUGAAGUGUGGACGCCAGUCUGCAUGGAGCCGACCUUGAAAUACCACCCUUUAAUGUUUGAUGUUCUAACGUGGACCCGUGAUCCGGGUUGCGGACAGUGUCUGGUGGGUAGUUUGACUGGGGCGGUCUCCUCCUAAAGAGUAACGGAGGAGCACGAAGGUUGGCUAAUCCUGGUCGGACAUCAGGAGGUUAGUGCAAUGGCAUAAGCCAGCUUGACUGCGAGCGUGACGGCGCGAGCAGGUGCGAAAGCAGGUCAUAGUGAUCCGGUGGUUCUGAAUGGAAGGGCCAUCGCUCAACGGAUAAAAGGUACUCCGGGGAUAACAGGCUGAUACCGCCCAAGAGUUCAUAUCGACGGCGGUGUUUGGCACCUCGAUGUCGGCUCAUCACAUCCUGGGGCUGAAGUAGGUCCCAAGGGUAUGGCUGUUCGCCAUUUAAAGUGGUACGCGAGCUGGGUUUAGAACGUCGUGAGACAGUUCGGUCCCUAUCUGCCGUGGGCGCUGGAGAACUGAGGGGGGCUGCUCCUAGUACGAGAGGACCGGAGUGGACGCAUCACUGGUGUUCGGGUUGUCAUGCCAAUGGCACUGCCCGGUAGCUAAAUGCGGAAGAGAUAAGUGCUGAAAGCAUCUAAGCACGAAACUUGCCCCGAGAUGAGUUCUCCCUGACCCUUUAAGGGUCCUGAAGGAACGUUGAAGACGACGACGUUGAUAGGCCGGGUGUGUAAGCGCAGCGAUGCGUUGAGCUAACCGGUACUAAUGAACCGUGAGGCUUAACCUU